AUCAGCUGCUCAAAGUGAAUUCAA
rnacentral:siRNA from 1 species